CGGUUGGAACGCGAACAUACUGCGACGCGAAUGCGUUUUGCUGGGCAACCGGAACCGGACCCCGGAUGACCGAGUCGAUGAUGCUGUGCCACUGGUGUACGAAGCAAGUUUAGGCCCUAUGGAAGUGAACGAUAAGUUACAAUCAUUAUAAACUGUGGAUUGCGAACCGCUUAUUAUGUAUGUGUACACAUUUUUUACAGACAAAUUUCUACCGAUGAGUUCUAGUGUGGAGAACAGUGCGUAGACCAAAAGCAGCGAUGAAGAUGGUAAAUUGUAUUUAUACGGGGCAACAACACACCUUAAACCGAAAUGCGUUCUGUGCACGCCCAUUGCCAAUGUAAUGGACACCGAAUCGACGGUAAUCGUUGGGGUACAGCAGUUGUACCUGCCACAUUCAGCAAUUCAUAUUGCCACACUAUAGCCAAGGAGAGCUUUAUACUGCAUGUCGUCAUGCGUGGUAAGCGCAUGGUAUGGGGAACCGCUUUUGCUGCGUGUGUCUGCAAGUGGCAUCAGAUUCUUUGGCAAGUGACGAAGUCUUAAAAAAUAUCUGGUAGCGCGUUUGGAAUCAGCUUAAGGUGCACAACAAUUCAUGUCCGUUAGGAUGGUGCAUAUUACGAGCCAUAGACGAAUGCACUGUUUCCGCUCCAUAUUCUACACCUUAUGUGCCCUAUGAUGCAUAUGUUGCUGCGUUAGGGAUCAUGUAGAGAGCCUAUGGUGCUCUCCUGUACAAAUAGUGAUCUUUAGCGAAACGGUCUCAACCGUUUAAGGUGCACAACAAUUCAUGUCCGUUAGGAUGGUGCAUAUUACGAGCCAUAGACGAAUGCACUGUUUCCGCUCCAUAUUCUACACCUUAUGUGCCCUAUGAUGCAUAUGUUGCUGCGUUAGGGAUCAUGUAGAGAGCCUAUGGUGCUCUCCUGUACAAAUAGUGAUCUUUAGCGAAACGGUCUCAACAACCAGUCCAUGCAUAUACAUGCCUCACGGUGUAUGCAAUCUUUGCAAACAAGCUUUUCUGUCGCAUACUUACUCCUCUUAAAAUAAUGUUUUUUUUUUAUAAAUAUGA